UGGGCGUAAGCGCGCGCAGGCGGUCCUUUAAGUCUGAUGUGAAAGCCCACCCCUCAACCGUGGAGGGUCAUUGGAAACUGGGGGACUUGAGUGCAUAAGAGAAGAGUGGAAUUCCACGUGUAGCGGUGAAAUGCGUAGAGAUGUGGAGGAACACCAGUGGCGAAGGCGACUCUUUGGUCUGUAACUGACGCUGAGGCGCGAAAGCGUGGGGAGCAAACAGGAUUAGAUACCCUGGUAGUCCACGCCGUAAACGAUGAGUGCUAAGUGUUAGAGGGUUUCCGCCCUUUAGUGCUGCAGCAAACGCAUUAAGCACUCCGCCUGGGGAGUACGGCCGCAAGGCUGAAACUCAAAGGAAUUGACGGGGGCCCGCACAAGCGGUGGAGCAUGUGGUUUAAUUCGAAGCUUCGCGAAGAACCUUACCAGGUCUUGACAUCUCCUGACAAUCCUAGAGAUAGGACGUUCCCCUUCGGGGGACAGGAUGACAGGUGGUGCAUGGUUGUCGUCAGCUCGUGUCGUGAGAUGUU
rnacentral:rRNA from 2 species